AACAGGAUUAGAUACCCUGGUAGUCCACGCUGUAAACGAUGUCGACUUGGAGGUUGUUCCCUUGAGGAGUGGCUUCCGGAGCUAACGCGUUAAGUCGACCGCCUGGGGAGUACGGCCGCAAGGUUAAAACUCAAAUGAAUUGACGGGGGCCCGCACAAGCGGUGGAGCAUGUGGUUUAAUUCGAUGCAACGCGAAGAACCUUACCUACUCUUGACAUCCAGAGAACUUAGCAGAGAUGCUUUGGUGCCUUCGGGAACUCUGAGACAGGUGCUGCAUGGCUGUCGUCAGCUCGUGUUGUGAAAUGUUGGGUUAAGUCCCGCAACGAGCGCAACCCUUAUCCUUUGUUGCCAGCACGUAAUGGUGGGAACUCAAAGGAGACUGCCGGUGAUAAACCGGAGGAAGGUGGGGAUGACGUCAAGUCAUCAUGGCCCUUACGAGUAGGGCUACACACGUGCUACAAUGGCAUAUACAAAGAGAAGCGAACUCGCGAGAGCAAGCGGACCUCAUAAAGUAUGUCGUAGUCCGGAUUGGAGUCUGCAACUCGACUCCAUGAAGUCGGAAUCGCUAGUAAUCGUAGAUCAGAAUGCUACGGUGAAUACGUUCCCGGGCCUUGUACACACCGCCCGUCACACCAUGGGAGUGGGUUGCAAAAGAAGUAGGUAGCUUAACCUUCGGGAGGGCGCUUACCACUUUGUGAUUCAUGACUGGGGUGAAGUCGUAACAAGGUAACC
rnacentral:rRNA from 1 species